rnacentral:rRNA from 1 species
CCUACGGGAGGCAGCAGUGGGGAAUAUUGGACAAUGGGCGCAAGCCUGAUCCAGCCAUGCCGCGUGAGUGAUGAAGGCCUUAGGGUUGUAAAGCUCUUUUGUCCGGGACGAUAAUGACGGUACCGGAAGAAUAAGCCCCGGCUAACUUCGUGCCAGCAGCCGCGGUAAUACGAAGGGGGCUAGCGUUGCUCGGAAUUACUGGGCGUAAAGGGCGCGUAGGCGGCCAUUCAAGUCGGGGGUGAAAGCCUGUGGCUCAACCACAGAAUUGCCUUCGAUACUGUUUGGCUUGAGUAUGGUAGAGGUCAGUGGAACUGCGAGUGUAGAGGUGAAAUUCGUAGAUAUUCGCAAGAACACCAGUGGCGAAGGCGGCUGACUGGACCAUUACUGACGCUGAGGCGCGAAAGCGUGGGGAGCAAACAGGAUUAGAUACCCUGGUAGUCCACGACCGUAACGAUAGAUAGCUAGCGUGUUGGGGUUGGUCGUUGUCGACCGCGAGUAGCGCGAGACUAACCGUACGUUUAACGUACUACGUUCCGUCCGUCGGGGUAGGUACGGGUCCGGCGAAGAAGUUAAAACGUUAACGUAAAGUUAGAAGUUAGUUACGGCGUGAGACGUUGCCGACGGACGACGACGAGGGAGGAGG